rnacentral:misc_RNA from 1 species
GAUAGUCUUUUAGUGAUUGGUUGGUCACCAAGAAUAUCAAACCGCAACACCCACUUGAUUUUCUAGCCGUUCUUGAUAAAUUUCUUCAAUCUUUUACUCCAAUUUUGCACAUACUCAGUAAGUAGCAAGAGGGAAAUGGCAGUAGUAGCUGAUGAUGAUCAUGAGCAACAAGUUAAGCAACCAGAAAAGAAAAAACCAGAGUCCGAGGAUGAUAAAAGAAGAAAAAAGAUUGUUCCUGGAAGUUUGAUGAAAGCUAUUGUGAGGCCUGGUGGUGGUGAAUCAAAACCUGCUGAGGGUAAUCAGGUAAUAUAUCAUUGUACAGUUAGAACACUGGAUGGAGUUACAGUUGAAUCGACACGGUCAGAGUUUGGAGGCAAGGGUACCCCAAUAAGGCAUGUUGUUGGGAAAAGCAAGAUCAUUUUAGGAUUGCUGGAGGGGAUUCCAACAAUGUUGAAGGGUG